rnacentral:pre_miRNA from 1 species
AACUACACUAUCGAUGAAUGAAUUCACCCGUGAGAUGACGUGGUUGUUCUAUCUAGGAUGAGGAUAUGGCAUCCUAUUAAUUUCAUGCGAUGACCGGUAAUAGGAUGCCAUGUCCUCGUUCUAGGUGAAACAACCACGUCAUCUCGCGGGUGAAUCCAUUCAUCGAUAGUGUGGUU